GUUUCACACCCUACAGGUCUUCCACACCUGUAACUUUCAUAUUAGCUUUGACCAUUUCUCAUAUAUUUGUUUCAAACGCAAAGCCUUUCACACCGACAAAAUGCAAAUAUGCAUCUUGCUGUUGCAAGCAAUGAACCAAAAGGGUCAAGCAGAUCUAGCAAUAAGGUCAUGUAACUCUGUCCCUAACUCCAACCACAAACCAUGUCAGCAAAUAUCUUAUCAUUUUGAACCCUGAUCCCAGCCAUAACUGCAGAUUAGGAACUGAAUUUUCUCUCACAUCUAGAAAGAAGACAUCCACAUCUGUGACUACCAGUCCUUAGACAAUUUUUCUGUAUUUACAGGAUUCAACAAGAAAAUGAGGUGUUCAGCCUGUGGCUGUCCCAGAUCCUUGCCACUCCUUGUCUGAGUACUUUUGGCCCCAGUUUUGCUUUCUGCAGGCAGCAGAGCCUCAGCUGGCCCCUUGGCCACUUUUUACUCCUGCUGUUGUAUUUGCCUGUGGUAUUUUCUCAGAAGACGCUGGAAAAGAGGAAAACAGGCUUCGUAUGGUACCUGUAAUUGAAGAGGAGAAAUCUGAGAUUUCUGCAGGCAUUUAAGGACAUAUGUAUAGGAUUUAGCAGUGCUAUUGCCCUGUAAGUGUUCAUAUACAGCAGAGUGGUUGGAGAAGUCCUUGAAGACCCUGAUCCAAUGCUCACCAAGGAAAUUUGCUCUCAUGGCAUGGAUAUGGUUUCAAGCCAGGCAGACCCAUCCUGGAGCUUUCCCUGCUUGCUCAAAAGGCUGCUUGAAAUUCUUGCCAUUAACUGUCCAUACCGGUGCUACUUGGUACAGCUCUGUCAUUUCUUCAAGGUGUGAGUUCCUCUUAUUUUUUCCUUAAAAAUAUGUUUAUUACUGAAUUGUAGAGAACAGAUUUGUAUUGUUAUUUGGGGUCUAACGCCACCAAUUUCCUUGGUGCGACAUUAGCAGGGGGUUAAGCACUCUGGCUCAUUUUUCUCAGGAUAACUUUAAAGCUCUGGUGGAGAUGAAGAGGUGAAGGCAGUUAGCAUCCACGCUGCUCACACAAAAGACUUCAGAUCUCAUCAAGUUGAACUGCUCACUCUUCAAAAGAGUAGCCCUUAAAAUGAUUUGGAACUGACCUUCUUUCCCUGAGAAAUUUCUUCUGACAAAACAGGUAUAUGUGAUACAGAAAAAUACAGUUAUUCAUUACCAACUGGUAGCUCCUCAUUGCCAGAUUACCUUUAAUUCACAAGCUAAACCAGAACAGGGAGCACACCUUGUUUUUCUCCCUCUCUGUGUUUUGGAUGUUAAAUUGUUGACUUUCUCUGAUAUCAGCAGGCAUGUAAAAGGUGGUUACAGAAGACAGAAAAGCAGUGUUACCUCAGGACUUUUUGCUCACAGGCAGAGUAGUUGGUAGGUUGGCCAAAACUGUCUUCACUCCUCAAAGGAAAAUGUAUUAAAAGAGAAAUGCAGCCCUUGCAUAUUGCCAGUGCUGUUCUGCUUGGAGAGAAAACUCCAUCAGUGCAACUCCCAUAAAGACAGAUCUCUGCCAAAUAUAAUUUGGAGAUGCUGUGGGACUUGGGAAUUGGCCCCUCAUUAGAGAUACAGAGAUUUCUCUCUAGAAGGGCAGUUUUCCAGCCUAUGAAAAUUAAUGGGAGAUGUACAUGUAUAUGUGGGUAGAUUUCAGCUCCCAAACAUACUACAAGGUGGGCCAAUCCACCAAAUUGCACUGAAUGUUGUUUCAUCACUCCAGAGGCUUCCUGCCUGGUGCCAAAUAUUUGCAGUUUGAACAUCUAUUAUACUAUUAGUGCUGCAGUGUAUCAACAGAUAACUCAGAUACAAUAUAGAAGAUAUAAUUCUCAAUAUUGUCCACUGAUUUUAAAUAUGUGUUUUUUGUUGUUGUUGUUGUUUUUUUUCUUUUAAAUAUACACAAGUAAAGAUAACUAAACAGGAUAAGUUGAGCAAUUUUUAUAAUGUCAUUUGGUUGAUGCUUCAAAGAAAAGCUAAUGCCAAUGCCUCUCUAAAUUGCAAUUGGUAAAACUUUACAAGAACUAAAAAUUAAUAUUCUAGAAAGUACAGACAAAAAUAAAAUAUGAGAACUAUAAAAUCAAAAUGUAUUUGAUUGUUUUUCUUUUGAACAUGUCUCCUGGAAUUAGUAAAUAUAUAUUUAUCCUGCUUGAAGCCCAUAGAAUAAAGAUGCUCAUUUCCAGAAUGGAUGUUCCGAAAAGGCAGCAGGAACUGAGAGCAAUUUGGGAACACCAUCUCUGAGCUACCAUACAGAAGACAGUUUUUAAUGUUGAAAUAAACUACCGAGAGUUAUCUGGAAGCCGUCAGUAUAAAACCGCUAACCAAUAGGUAUAUGUGCGCACUGUGCUACCUGGCGCAUAACUGUGUGGCAAAGAGGUAAAAGGUGAUUUGCAGCCAGUGAUUAAAAAAGCUUCUUGAAAUAUUAAGCUCUUCUGUGAAGGGCAAUACCCUAAAUGUGGAGGUUUUAUGCGUACAAAAGCCCAGUUGCAGAAAGAACUAUGGGAUCUGGGUAGUGUCACCCGACUUAAACCCCACAACUCUGCUCUGGGAAGAAGCACUGCUGCCUACACCUGGAGCAGUGGCUCUGAGCAACAUGCAGACUCUUUUGAUGAGAUUUUGGGUUUCUCACAUGGUUUUGCAUAUCAUGGCUAGCUACUUAGAAUUUCAUUUAGAACUUAAAAUUGAGAGAUUGAUUUUCUGAUGAAGUCCACAGGGACGUUUCUCAACCAAGUUAAAUGAAAAGGAAAUAAAUUUGGAUAAAACAAAUUUGUGAAGGCGGCUUGUUUGCUUUUUCCUCCCUAUAUUUUUUUUUAUUAUUAUUUUUUUUAUAGUU